AUUGAACGCUGGCGGCAUGCCUAACACAUGCAAGUCGAACGGCAGCAUGACCUAGCUUGCUAGGUUGAUGGCGAGUGGCGGACGGGUGAGUAACGCGUGGGAAUAUGCCCUAGAGACGAGGAUAACCUUUGGAAACAGGGGCUAAUACUGGAUAAACUCGAGAGAGCAAAGGUUGGAUUGCAGCCGCUUUAGGAAUAGCCUGCGUCCGAUUAGCUAGUUGGAGUGGUAAAGGCGCACCAAGGCGAUGAUCGGUAGCUGGUCUGAGAGGAUGGACAGCCACACUGGGACUGAGACACGGCCCAGACUCCUACGGGAGGCAGCAGUGGGGAAUAUUGGACAAUGGGGGGAACCCUGAUCCAGCAAUGCCGCGUGUGUGAAGAAGGCCUGCGGGUUGUAAAGCACUUUCAGUGAGGAGGAGGGUUAAUUGGUUAAGAGCUGAUUAAUUGGACGUUACUCACAGAAGAAGCACCGGCUAACUCCGUGCCAGCAGCCGCGGUAAUACGGAGGGUGCGAGCGUUAAUCGGAAUUACUGGGCGUAAAGGGUGCGUAGGCGGUUUAUUAAGUUGUAUGUAAAAUGCCAGGGCUUAACCUUGGGAGGUCAUACGAUACUGGUAGACUUGAGUACAGGAGAGGGCAGUGGAAUUUCCGGUGUAGCGGUGAAAUGCGUAGAGAUCGGAAGGAACAUCGGUGGCGAAGGCGGCUGCCUGGCCUGAUACUGACGCUGAGGCACGAAAGCGUGGGUAGCGAACA
rnacentral:rRNA from 1 species